GAACACAUCCACUUGGGACAUGAGUUCUUCGUCAUCUUCAUCUCGCGACGAUGAACUCAUACUUGCAGCAUUCGCCGAGCGCGAGGAGGAAGAGAGAAAAAACACUCGACGCCGUGGCGGUUCCAAGCAUGGACGUCAGUCAAUCGAUCGAGGAAGAGAUGCCAGAUUUAUUCUUCUGUGGAACGACUACUUCAAAGAAGUUCCUCGCUUUCCCGAACAUUUGUUUCGACGAAGAUUUAGGAUGUCGCGUACUUUGUUCAACCGCAUAGCUGAUGGUA